CUCCCGGUCGUUUCGUAGAUGAUUUUGCUUUUAACCCCCGCCACGCGCGCCACCCGCAUUUUCAUUUCCCAACUUUCUGGGGGGCUCUCUAGAAAAACCGCCGGAGAUACCCCGGAAAAGGGUGGGGAAGACGUCGUGACCUCGUGGCUUAUACCGGGUGGGCUACACACGUGAUACAAUGGUGGUGACAAUGGGUUAAUCCCCCAAGACCAUCUCAAUUCCGAUUGUCGUCUGUCACUCAGCGGCAUGAACUCCGAAUCGCUAGUAAUCACAUAACAGCAUGACAAGGUGAAUACAUUCCCGGGUCUUGUACACACCGAUGGGUCUUGUACACACCGAGA
rnacentral:rRNA from 1 species